GACGAACGCUGGCGGCGUGCUUAACACAUGCAAGUCGAACGAAGUGGCGAACGGGUGAGUAACGCGUACUCAACCUGCACUUCCGAGGGGGACAACAGUUGGAAACGAAUGCUAAUACUGCAUACUGAAGGAGGGGAUUGCGUAUGAUUAGGUAGUUGGAGGGGUAACGGCCCACCAAGGAGAUGAUCAGUAUCCGGUCUGAGAGGGUGAACGGCCACAUGGGGACUGAUGCACGGCCCAGACUCCUACGGGAGGCAGCAGUGGGGAAUCUUCCGCAAUGGAGGAAAGUCUGACGGAGCAACGCCGCGGGAGUGAUGAGGGCCUUCGGGUUGUAAAGCUCUGUUAAUCGGGACGCGGUACCGGAAUAGAAAGCCACGGCGAACUACGGGCCAGCAGCCGCGGUAAUUC
rnacentral:rRNA from 1 species